CACUGAUGCUUUCCAACUAAAACACGGAAGGAAAACAUGUUGGUUUGACUGUCACAGGAGAUUCCUACCACCUGAUCAUCCAUAUCGUAGGAGUAGGAAUUUGUUUACGAAGAACAAGAGGGUGUUUGACAUUCCACCUCCGGAAAUUUGUGGGAAAGAUUUGAAGACACAACUAAGAGAUUUGGUGCAGAAAGGACGCCAAACGUCGGUGGACAUGAGCGUUUUCCGGUAGAUGCUGUUGGAGACAUACAUAACUGGCACAAAAAAGUAUUUUAUGAGAUCUGCCAUACUAGGAGGAUCAUCUGCUAAGGCAUAAUUUAGAUGUCAUGCAUAUUGAGAAAAACUUUUUUGACAAUCUCAUGAACACGAUCCUUAAUGUUCAAGGUAAAACAAAAGAUAAUUUAAAGUCAAGACUGGAUUUAGUCGAUAUAUGUGCUCGUUCAGAACUUCAUGUUGAUGAGAAUGGUAGGGCUCCUUUUCCCAUAUAUCGACUUGAUGCAGAGGGAAAAGAUGCGUUCUUUGAUUGGAUUUCAAACUAUGUGGAAUUUCCAGACGGUUACGCAUCUAAUUUGCGUAACUGUAUCGACAGAAAGAAAGGAAAGUUUACUGGUUUGAAAAGCCACAAUUGCCAUAUAAUGAUGCAGCACCUCCUUCCGUUUGCUUCAAGGAACUAUUACCACGAAAUGUUCAUGAAGCAAUUGUAGGGAUAAGUGGUUUCUUCCGCGAUUUAUGCACGAGAUCAGUGACUCUUGAAGGUAUUGAAAAUUUGAAGACUAACAUAGCCGUGAUUCAGUGCAACCUUGAGAAGAUAUUCCCUCCCUCAUUUUUUGAUGUUAUGGAGCAUCUUGUUAUUCACCUGGCAAGAGAAUUGGAACUUGGUGGUCCUAUGCAGUAUAGAUGAAUGUAUAUGUAUGAGCAGUAUAUGUUCCAUUUGAAGAAGAUGGUGAAAAAUUUAAGUAGGGUGGAAGGUUCUAUAGUCGCACAGAUGAUCAAUGAAGAAACUUCAAACUUUGCCGAGUACUACUUUCCAGCAGAAGUUCAGACCAAAAACAGAAGACCUGCUCGGCAUGAUGAUAGAGGCGAACGGGCAACAUAUCAUGUUACGGUUCCAGACAUUUUCACAGACGUUGGACGACUUAGCGGAAAACCAAAGGACCAUCGACUUACUGAGCAGGAGCGCAGUCAUUUGCAAACAUAUUUGCUCACCAACUGCGAAGGUGUUCUUCAAUAUGAGAGAAUUUUCAUGGAAGAAAAGCGGUUCGAAUAUAGAUACGCCACAGAGGACGAACUAGAAGAAAUGAAGCAGAGAGAAUUUGCUGGAUGGAUGUUUACUUAUGUGAGUGCUUUAAACAAAUUAAAAUAUUAUUUAUCACAUAUUUAUACUAAUUCACAUUUAUUGAUAUAACAUAUAUAUGUGUUAUUAAUAGGUGUCUGCUGGUUUGGCCAGAGGUGAAACAUUUGACGAUUGGAUAUGCGAGAUGGUCGUUGGACCAAACUUUGUUGUGAAGUCAUAUCCGAGAUUUUGUACUCGAUGAUAUGCAUUCACAACUCAGAAGAGGAGACGUUCGAGUACGACUUAUGAUGCUGGCGUUUGUUCUGCAUCAGGAGAUGAUGUAUACUACGGACACAUACAUGAGAUUUUGGAAAUCAAGUAUUUGUGCAUGGUUGGAUUGCGCUGUACUGUUUUCUAUUGUGAUUGGCACGAUAACACUCCAGAUCGAGGUGUGAUAACAGAUGCAUUUGGUGUUACAUCAGUAAAUUCGAGGCGAAAGCUGCAAUAUUAUGAUCCUUUCAUUCUUGCUUCUCAGACCGAUCAGGUAAUUAAAUGUUCAUUAUUCAGAAUGAUUCAUCAUCAUGUGUAUUAAAUUAUAAUUUUACUAAUAAUUUUUUAAAUGUUACAGGUUUGUUAUAUCAAGUACCCCCGGGUAAGGAACAUAUAUGAUCUAUGGGUUACUGUUACAAGACUCAACCCGAGAGGCCGAGUUCAAGGAAGUUCUGAGCUGGAAGACCCACUACAACCAAGCACAUCCGGCAACUUAAGUGCAGCAGAAGAUUUAGCUGGAGUUGGCCUUGUAGUCGAUUUAACCGACUUCGGAGACGAAGCCGCCGUUCACGUAGAGGAUGAACCAGUGAUUGGAGAGUUUCACCAAGAUCCAGAUUCAGAUUCAUCUGGUGAUGAUGACUCGGAAAAAGACUAGCAUCCACUUGUUUUUUUUUUUAAUAGAAAUACCGAGGAAAUUCCGAGAGAAGAUAGGUUUUCCUCGGAAUUUCCUCAGAAUAGACCUUGUCGAUUUAAAGAUUUGAUUAUAGAGUCUUUUUCCUCAGAAUCUCCUCGGAAUAUUCCGACGGAAUUCCGAGGAAGAUAAGGGCUUCCUCGGAAAUUACAUUAUUUCCUCGGAAUUCCCUCAGAAUAUUCCGAGGAAAUUCCGAGGAACUAGGGGUUUUUAACCGAAAACAACGUUUUGCGGAUUGAAUAACACGUAUAUAACCUUCAUUAAGUGUCUUAACCAGAUUAUGAAGUCAAACUUUGGUGUUUUACCCAAUAACAACCACUUUUACGAUUGCAUGAACGAAAACCACACGACAUAAGAAAAACACUUA